rnacentral:pre_miRNA from 1 species
UUCGACAUGGCCUCGCCUGACAGUGUACCACCCUGAGUUCCCACGUGCGUUUGCCCAGUGUGAACACAGCUGGUGGUAUAUCAGUCAGUCGCGGCAUCUAC